rnacentral:rRNA from 1 species
CCAGACUCCUACGGGAGGCAGCAGUGGGGGAUAUUGCACAAUGGGGGAAACCCUGAUGCAGCGACGCCGCGUGUGGGAAGACGGUCCUCUGGAUUGUAAACCACUGUCCCCAGGGACGAAGAUGACGGUACCUGGGGAGGAAGCUCCGGCUAACUACGUGCCAGCAGCCGCGGUAAUACGUAGGGAGCAAGCGUUGUCCGGAAUUACUGGGUGUAAAGGGAGCGUAGGCGGCCUGCCAAGUCUGAUGUGAAAUACCGGGGCUCAACCCCGGGGCUGCAUUGGAAACUGGCAGGCUGGAGUGUCGGAGAGGCAGGCGGAAUUCCUAGUGUAGCGGUGAAAUGCGUAGAUAUUAGGAGGAACACCAGUGGCGAAGGCGGCCUGCUGGACGAUGACUGACGCUGAGGCUCGAAAGCGUGGGGAGCAAACAGGAUUAGAUACCCCUGUA